GCACAGGGAUCAAAGAUUGUUCAGUUCCAAUUUGGGAUGAAACACAUUUCAUGACUUAAAGGGGGCUCAAGGUGGUGGUUUGCAAGUCCAUACAAAUGGUCCUGCGUUUCUGGAGUGGUACUGGAGUGAAGGUCAUUCUCUGUCAGAGGCAUAGAAAUAUUUCUCUGAAACUUGCUCAUAAGUGCAGUGUUGCCAGGGUC